rnacentral:lncRNA from 1 species
AAAAUACAAAAUUGGGAGCCCCUUUAAACCUUCCUUUUAGUUAAUUUUCCUUCAAGCAUCAAAGCUGGCCAAAAACCCAACUAACUUCCAGUUUCUCUCCAAUGUACAAACUGCACAGAGAACUUGAGCCAAACUUACUUCAGCAGUUACUACCCUGAGGCUCUUGAUGGUUCAGAAAGCACUUCUGCAAGCCAAAAAGCAGAUCACCAAAGAGGGCCAAACUCAGUGAGAUACCUGAGGAGAAGUGACACCCAGUGGUGUCUUCCAGCUCUCCUGCUGGUUCCAACAUCUUGAUUACUUUUCUCUUCUGUGGUCACUCUUGAAUUCUCUUUCUUCUUCGAGGAAAUAAAGUUGAAGAACAUCCAGGACUAAACCCAUGCAAAUGUUUAUCAGACUUAAAUAAUAGGAGCUGAGCUUUUUAUGACAGGGUAGAGUCACUAUUGUGACACACUAGAAUCCAAAGCAAUUUAAGAGCAAGCUCCUCCCAACAAACCUAGCGAUUCCUGGAAACUGACUUCCUUGACCCUGGUUUCCCAGUCUCUGGGUCCUGACAGCUACAACAGAUGAGAAAACUGAUAAGCAAAGCAAGAUGUGACUUGCUCAAGAUUCAGCAGUUGACUGGUGACCAAGUUGAAUGGACGACUUGAAGGGCUCUUUUGGACACACCACCAUCAUGAUAUUAUUCCUCUUCCAAGAGAGAUUUAAAAUACUCAUUUUUUGCCACCAUAUGCAAAGAAUGACUGGUCCUGCACAGAGGAAGCAGACAAACAAGAACACAGCCAGCAUCUCCUGGAAGGUAUGAUGACAGCAGAUUUUAUAGAAGCCACUAGAUAAAGGCUAUAUGGUCAGAGUUCCCCAGAAAGACAGAAUCAGUGGAUAGGUAGAUAGAUAUGAGAGA